GGAUUUAGCUCAGUGGUAGAGCGCUUGCCUAGCAAGCGCAAGGCCCUGGGUUCGAUCCCCAGCUCCG
rfam:Rattus norvegicus chromosome 4, whole genome shotgun sequence.